rnacentral:lncRNA from 1 species
GGAAGGCAGGGCUGCCGGAGUGGGUGAGAUACACACAGGCAGAUGCUGAGGAGAACAGGAUUGUAAAGCUGCAUUAUGUAGCGACGAGUGUGCUGCGAGAAAGGGAGAGAGAGAGAGAGAGAGAGAGAUCAAGGAGGAGGAGGAGAGAGAGACAGCAAACCUUGCCAGGUAAACAUCUCUGUUUCCUAUUAACAAUCCAUCCCUCCCGCAUUGAUAAGGAAUGAGUGGAUCCCUGCAGAGAGAAGCUGAAUAUUGCUGGUAAUCUGUGCUGUAUACUGACUGGAUGCACAGAACCUGCCAGGGUUAUUGAAGCACCUUCCUGCUGCUCUGGAUGGACUUCUUGGAAGGUCUGAAUAUGUGAAGAUCCAGGGCAGGGAUACGUUGUAGCUGUGGUACAGGGCAGGGAUACGUUGUAGCUGUGGUACAGGGCAGGGAUACAUUGUUGCUGUGUAUAUUCCUAUGUCUAUGGAAGAACCCAUCUCUCUCCAGGGUUGGAUUACAAGGAUGGCUUGUGUUUGGCAAGAGAAAGAACAUCAAAUGGUCUUUUAGGUGGCUUUUGCUUUGGAAUGUCAUCUCCUGGGUGGUUCUUUAAAAAAUUGAUACCCUACAACCUCCGCCAUUGGAUACCCAGCCUGGUUGACAACUUACCCACGGCUGGUGGAGACGGCGGACCCACCAGGUCUUGGCUUUGGUUUGCUCUGGGUUUUCCGGGUUUUUGGGGCGUUGGAAAGAGUCCCGGACAUUUAGGAAAGCGGGAUUUAACACCGUAAGUUUGUUUCUAAAAAACUGAAAUAAAAGGAAGAAAAAAUUUAAAAAGGAGGAUUGUGGGAAAGAAGAUGGGAAUUUGGGGUUCUGACUGAAAUGCUAAACAAACUCCUCUCCAGAUUAAUCGAAGGAGGCUGUCGUUCAACCAAGGAUCUUUACUGUCUAUGAAGGGGGCAGGUAAUGCUUGUUUUCAACUCUUUUGUAUGAAAACGCUUUGUGCUUGUACUGGAGGUCAUAGUCCUCCUAAUGUUCAAAG